CUUUGACCUUAUGUUCCUUCUGAGUUCUUGUACUCACAACUGUUUUUGUAGGUUUGAUGAAUUUACAAGCCUUACAAUGUCCACAUUGAGAUACUCCUGUUGUCUGUGUUAGUCAUGUGGGUUGUGGUUUUAUCGGUUCAAUAUGGCUGUGUACUAGGUGGUCCCUCAGAUUCUUGCAUCUGCGUGCUGGAAUACUGGGAAACUUACAAAUGUUUCCCUGCAGAUCCAUAUUAUGUUGUAAG